rnacentral:rRNA from 1 species
UAAUACGAGGUGGACAAACGUUAUUCGGAUUUACUGGGCUUAAAGCGUGCGUAGGCGGCUCAGAAAGUUGGGUGUGAAAGCCCUCGGCUCAACCGAGGAAUUGCGCUCAAAACUACUGAGCUCGAGGGAGAUAGGGGAGAGCGGAACUGAUGGUGGAGCGGUGAAAUGCGUUGAUAUCAUCAGGAACACCGGUGGCGAAGGCGGCUCUCUGGAUCUCUUCUGACGCUGAGGCACGAAAGCUAGGGGAGCAAACGGGAUUAGAUACCCCGGUAGUCCUAGCCUUAAACGAUGAGCACUAGAUCGAAGAUCCUCACAGAUUUUUGGUCGUAGCGAAAGUGUUAAGUGCUCCGCCUGGGGAGUAUGGUCGCAAGGCUG